UAAUACAGAAUGGGUGAAGGCUGGAAGCACUCCCCUUGAAAACUGACAUAAGACAGGGAUACCCUCUCUUAUCACUCCUAUUCAACAUAGUAUUGAAAGUUCUGUCCAGGGAAAUCAGGCAAGA